UACAGAGGGGGCAAGCGUUGUUCGGAAUUACUGGGCGUAAAGGGCGCGUAGGCGGCCUGCUAAGUCAGACGUGAAAUCCCUAGGCUCAACCUAGGAACUGCGUCUGAUACUGGAUGGCUUGAAUCCGGGAGAGGGAUGCAGAAUUCCAGGUGUAGCGGUGAAAUGCGUAGAUAUCUGGAGGAAUACCGGUGGCGAAGGCGGCAUCCUGGACCGGCAUUGACGCUGAGGAGCGAAAGCCAGGGGAGCAAACGGG
rnacentral:rRNA from 1 species